UACGUAGGGGGCGAGCGUUGUCCGGAAUUACUGGGCGUAAAGGGCUCGUAGGCGGCCAACUAAGUCAGACGUGAAAUCCCUCGGCUUAACCGGGGAACUGCAUCUGAUACUGGAUGGCUUGAGAUUGGGAGAGGGAUGCGGAAUUCCAGGUGUAGCGGUGAAAUGCGUAGAUAUCUGGAGGAACACCGGUGGCGAAGGCGGCAUCCUGGACCAACACUGACGCUGAGGAGCGAAAGCCAGGGGAGCAAACGGG
rnacentral:rRNA from 1 species